CCAGACUAUUUAACCCUGAAAGGCCUUAAUUUGUCCAUCUUCGCAGUGGGUGUCAUUCAGAUUAGUCACGUGUUACGCCACAUGCCCCAGGCACAAGCCUUUCCAAAUUGGUCUGACUCAGAAGCAGAGAACUUUAGGCUUGCUGCUAGAAAUGCAGCAAAACCAGAAGAGGAGGAUUGAGGAGGAGUGCUGGUCUUUUUAGACAAUCUGGAACGAUUGUCCAGGCUGCUGCUGAUAAAAAAAUGGGGUGGAGAAAGGUUACUUCCUGGUCUGAGGAGAGCAAUGCUUCUGUCUCUGCAGCCCCUGCCACUUGCAGAAGUCCAGGACACACCAGCAAGAGGAGGUCCAGGAGACAGGCUGGGCGAGGUCUGCGGCGAUGGAGCAGAGGUCGAUACUCAAUCCCAAUUGGAGGGGACACCCGAUUCCAUUUCCUCAAGCUGUGUGUUCUGUUCCUCUUUUGCUUGCCUUGGUUUGUCCUGCCCAAGGCGGAGUUUAGACUGUGAUUCAGAAAGCUUCCUGAAUGCUGCUGUGGUUAAGCAUUUUAGCAGGAUGGCCCAAGAGAGUCUCUGCUGCUGGGAGGAAUGAUGGCUCCUGGGUGUCUCUGACCUGCUUAUCAGGUGAAGAAACUGUUGCACAGGAAGGUUAUGUUGCUUGUUCAAGGUCAUAUGUCAUCUAAGUGGAAGAGGUAG